UUCAAAUUUCAGAGAAGAAAGCUUUAGUAGUUGUUUCUGUGGGUAUCUCUGUCUGUCUGUUAGGCUAGGAAGCUGGUUUCUUGCUAAAGGACCUGGCCUUGUGGAAAACUGUGAGCUGGCUGCUGUGUUACAGUUCUAAGACAAGUAAUCAUAGAGCAUGACCCCAAAACACCAAGGAGGGUGUUCCCAGCAAAAAGUUCAACAGAGCUGUGGCAACUGCCUACAUGGAGAAAAUGAGAAUAAAGGUGAGAAGAGAUGGAUAUGCAAAUGAACAAAAUGAAUUCUAACCAGCAGCCUUAUGGCUGUACGUCUGACUCCUUGCAUUUUAGGAGAAUUGAUGUGCAAGUUAGCUAAUGGCUUGUAAAGUAGGAUUGGGAAACACUGAGACUUUGAUUUUACUUCCUUC